rnacentral:rRNA from 1 species
GAUGAACGCUGGCGGCGUGCCUAAUACAUGCGAGUCGAGCGAACAGACGAGGAGCUUGCUCCUCUGACGUUAGCGGCGGACGGGUGAGUAGCACGUGGAUAACCUACCUAUAAGACUGGGAUAACUUCGGGAAACCGGAGCUAAUACCGGAUAAUAUAUUGAACCGCAUGGUUCAAUAGUGAAGGACGGUUUUGCUGUCACUUAUAGAUGGAUCCGCGCCGCAUUAGCUAGUUGGUAAGGUAACGGCUUACCAAGGCAACGAUGCGUAGCCGACCUGAGAGGGUGAUCGGCCACACUGGAACUGAGACACGGUCCAGACUCCUACGGGAGGCAGCAGUAGGGAAUCUUCCGCAAUGGGCGAAAGCCUGACGGAGCAACGCCGCGUGAGUGAUGAAGGUCUUCGGAUCGUAAAACUCUGUUAUUAGGGAAGAACAAAUGUGUAAGUAACUAUGCACGUCUUGACGGUACCUAAUCAGAAAGCCACGGCUAACUACGUG